rnacentral:rRNA from 1 species
AACGAACGCUGGCGGCAGGCUUAACACAUGCAAGUCGAACGAACGUAGCAAUACGUUAGUGGCGCACGGGUGAGUAACACGUGGAUAUCUGCCUUUUGGUUCGGGAUAACCCUGGGAAACUAGGGCUAAUACCGAAUGGUUCCUACGGGAUAAAGAUUUAUCGCCAAAAGAUGAGUCCGCGUCCGAUUAGCUAGUUGGUGGGGUAAUGGCUCACCAAGGCGACGAUCGGUAGCUGGUCUGAGAGGACGAUCAGCCACACUGGGACUGAGACACGGCCCAGACUCCUACGGGAGGCAGCAGUGGGGAAUAUUGGACAAUGGGGCAACCUGAUCCAGCCAUGCUGCGUGAGUGAUGAAGGCCUUGGUUGUAAG